rnacentral:lncRNA from 1 species
CGGACGCAUGCACGGCGACACCUCGUGCUCCACAUGGCUGGCUGCAUGUCCAGGACACAUGCAGGACGCCACCACUCCCCAGAUGUCAGGCUGCAUGACUGGAGCUCAUGCAGGCGCCGCCACAGAUCACACACAUGUCGAUCAGCAUGCUUCGGUGCAUGCGUCGCGACAUCUCGUGCUUGGCAUCCACCUCGUGCUUCUACAUGUCAAGCUGCAUGUGCAGCUUCAUGCACGGCGACACCUCGAGCUUCUCUUGACACUCAGCUGGUUAGACAGUUGCCACCACGUUCUUAUCCCUUCUGAUCAAGCCACCUCGAGCUUCUCGGUUUCUUUGCGCGAUUUCGACCCUUCUUGUGAAUUUCUAACCCGCGAUCAAUCCCGAAUAUUUUUCCGCUCCCAUUCUGAUUCUCUGAAUAUUUUUAAUAAACUACAGAUGAUGUCUGAUAUCCUUUAAAAAUAUUUCCGAGCCUCCGGCUUCCUCAAAGAAUUUCGUAAUACCGAAAUUAGGGUUUUCGCCCAACUUCGGGUUUUCCCGUCGUGCUUCAAUCCCGUCGUGCUUGCUUCCCGUCCUGCUUAAUUCCCGUCCUGCUUCCGACUUAAAAUGUCUUCAGAAUAAUAUUUUACUGAUACGAAGAUAUUCCGAGAAACUUCGUGAUGAAGAAACGUCAAUCUUCAAAAACGUCGAGCUUCUAAACCGUCGUGCUUCCAAAAAUGUUAUGCUUCCAAAACAUCCUUUGAUCAAUCUAAACACUUUUCUAACCAUGUUCCAGCAGCUUAUGGUUCACCCAUGAUCAAUUCUCGACCAUCCAUUGCCCGCGGUAUACGACCACUAAAUAUAAUUUUUUUUUUUUAACGGGUUUCUACAUUCUCCCCCCUUAAUAGAAUUCGUCCUCGAAUUCUUAGUUGCGCAAUUGCUCGUCUUCACAACAUUCUCCACUCGUCUCCAUAACCUCUUUACUCUGUCCACCACGGUUCCUUGAGUGUCCUCUUCAAGGCUCCACAAUCGUCUCAUAUCUCAUCACUGGAAUGAUCACUGAGUCAUCCUCUUUCUUUUACUCUGCCAUAACACCCUCAUUGCCCAUGAUACUAUCUUGUCCAGAUUCCUCAAAUCCUUUCUCGAUCUUUGUCUUCCCAAUUACUGAUGAAUUCCUUCCCCAAUGAAGUCUUGUUUCCUCCCAUCUGUCCUGUCCAUACCACAGCCCAGUUCUCUGAAUCUGCCUCUCCUCUUUCGCUUCGGGUUUGGGUUUGGCCUUGAACUCCCUCCACUUUAAGGUUUUCAUCCCUUAAAGUUCCGAUCAACAAACAUACUUACUCGCUGCAACUCAAAAGAACACCUCACAUGCAAGUUAGUAGACAAUUAAUCAAAUAAUCUACUAACCUAGAAAAUACUAACAAUGCAACCUAACCGCAAUUCUAACCAGCAACCUAACAGUUCUACCCAAGCAACCUAACAGUUCUAGAUUCCACUAUCUCAAUCCUAAUUCCUAAAACCACAAAUCCUAUCGCUGGACGUGACCGGUUUCCCUAAUGCCUUUUGUGACUCAAUUUGACUCGAUAAAUAUUUAAAACCGAUUAAAUCAUGAGUUCCGGAAGCAUGGACGAAACCAUGCUCUGAUACCACCUCUGUAACACCCCCGAACCGUCCUAGACAUAUGGUCGAUCAACCGGCCAACAAUCAAACAAGAACAUGACCGAUCGACCGUACAAUACCCAGGGUUGGAGAUGAAAGGCCAACCGGCCAGCCAACAAUCAAACAAGAACAUGACUGACCGUCCAACCCAACACCAUGGUCCGGAAGCGCUACGUGACGGGCUAGGGACAAUCCGGUCAGAGUCACAAACUUUACUCCACGACCUAGACCAGUUCAUCCACUAACUCGUCCCGCUGCGUCAAGGCAUAAGGCUUUGCAACCCGUACCUAGAGUUAGCGUUUUCCGUUAGAUCGAGGCCUAAGGCUUUUCAACCCGUACUACGACCUAACGUUGUGUUAGACCGGACUAGUCAAAUAUCAGAGUACUCAUGAAGCGCAUAUAAAACAAUUACUUUAUUGAUUCGAGAAAUAUCCAUACAUUGAUAUAAUCGAGACCGGUCCCGGCCUAAUGCCAAAUCGAGUCAACUAAACACAAAUCCACAAUACCGUUUACAAAAGGCAUGAAAAUCUACACCGGCGGUCCUAACGUCCAGCACCAAGCUAUCCGAUCAUCCUUACCUAAAGCGACCUGCAAAAAGGACAACGGAGUUGGAUGAGUAACCUAAUGUUACUCAGUGAGCUGGCGGCCUCUACCCGCAACCUAGACUCUACCCAGACAACCCAAAAUAACAAUCAAUCUAGCCCUAGCAUGCAAUAAAAGCUAAGGCUAAGCAAACCGUUACUAAGUUAGACUUGGCCUCCUGCCAUGAUCUAGCUUCAAGUAACGGGAACCUGCAUUAAAACAAGUCAACAACAAUCCCUAGUUAACCAUAUAUACGCCUGAGUUCAAUACUCAUGUAGUGUUAGACACUUAGACUAUACAAGUAUCAUUAAUCGAUCGACCAACAAUCAAACAAGAACAUGAUCGGCCAACCAAUGAUACCGCAUAGCUUUAAUAUCCACCACCCUUCACAAGCAAUCACUCAAACACAUACAGGCCAACGUCAGGCCUACACUAACGAAAUACACAUCAAGCCUAAUCCGGUACCUAAACCAGACUUAGACUUAACGUCAGAACCUGCAAGCAAAUCAAUCAACCACAAACACAAUCACAAUAAUAAGACUAUGAGUAACUACGACUCGAUCUAACUUGUAACACCGUAUAUCGGUGCUACACUAACUCGAGGGUUCCAUAACCCUCUACGACACUCUAACACAACACUCUAACCUGGGCCCUGGUGACUUCGUGUUCCUCCUCUCUAUCGGCAAUAUCCUAUCUCCCUACCACAAAGGCCAGAAGAAGGAACUUUCAACCGACCGCGGCCCACAGUCAUUCGGGUCACCGCGCGACAGCCCACAGUCCUUCGGGUCACUGCCACAUUACACCGUCGUGUAAUACUCAGCCAUAGUACAUGACACCGUUCGUCUGAGUCUUCCCGAUCCAGCGAAUAAGGGGUUUCCUUGAACCCGCUGGGUACGAGGCCGAGGAAACACUAAUCACCCCUACACAAGCCUAGUAUGGGCGGGUCACGCACAUACUGUCGGCACACUCACACAACACAAACUCAAUCUAGAACCUAACCUAAAGAUAAAGUUCCAGAUCCUAACUAGACACUCGACUCAACAAGACUAACCAUAGUACCAGUAGUCCGGCCUAUAUGGCCUAAGACCCUUAGUACUAAUAACUAAACAAUAAUAUCAAUACUAAACAAAUAAAUCAAACCGUUACCCAGAUAGUCCAGCCUCCCGCUGAGAAACUAUCUUUAAAGAUAACGGGAACCUGCACUCAACCAUAUCAACACGCAAGAAUAGAAAACAUGAUGCAUCCUAGCCCUAGUCCUAGUCAGGUUAUUAACUCAGUCUUAAUUCCAUUCAUCUCAGCUUAGCCCUUGCUAAACUGAGUCCGGUUCCAUAAAUAAAAUAACCCUAAGGACUCUACCAUUCAAUAACGUGAUCAUUCUACUCUAUAUGCGACUCGAUCUACCCUAAAUUCCAAGUGGAAUUCAAACAAACCAACUCACAGUGUUCUAGGCGAGAAGCAGCUGGUUGAUCGGAGAAGACUUGGCCAAAACCCAAUGGACGCCUUGACUGGACUGGAAUGGACUGAUCUUGUCUUGGAAACAACCUUGGCUUCACUAUGAAGAAGUUGACAGGCCUCGACAGGCUGAUCUGGACUCGGACAGAACCUCCUCUAGCUUCUGGACAGUUCUUCGGACUUCCCGCGGAGUAUCGAGCAGAACUUCGACUGAUCUGAACCCGUGGUUCUGAACUAACUCUGGGCAGCACCUCCACUAGACCAUCAUAGAAUAUGACUGGCUUGGACGAAUUGAAUUGGACAGAGCUUCCGCAUCACAAUCUUAGAGAAUCGCCGAUUGGACGGAACUGGCCUUCUCGGUGGAGUAUCGGUCUUCAGAAUCGACCAUACUCUAGAAUCGAUCACUUCCUUUCUCUCUCUCUCUCUCUAUAGCCACGUUGACUUGACUCCCAUCUGAUCUGAUCUUCACUUGAUUGACCUUCAGUUGGACAUAACCUUCCCAAGGCGAUGACUCGAAAUCAAUAGAGAACUGAUCUCGAAAACUCUCUAAAACUCUCGAAAUAGCUCGGAAUCACUUGCUUUCUUUUUCUACUUUUCUCUCAAGGUUUUAACUUUGUUUGGACAGGUCUGGAUGUGAAGAAAUGAGCUGGGGUCGUGGGGUAUUUAUAGGAGACACCAGCCAAUCAGCUUCAGGUUGGUGGCAGCCCGUGUGUUGCUCCGCAUGGCUCCGGACGCAUGCACGGCGACACCUCGUGCUCCACGUGGCUGGCUGCAUGUCCAGGACACAUUCAGGACGCCACCACUCCUCCCAGAUGUCAGGCUGCAUGACUGGAGCUCAUGCAAGGCGCCGCAGCAUCACACACAUGUCGAUCAGCAUGCUUCGGUUGCAUGCGUCGCGACAUCUCGUGCUUGGCUAAUCCACCUCGUGCUCCUACAUGUCAAGCUGCAUGUGCAGCUUCCAUGCACGGCGACACCUCGAGCUUCUCUUGACACUCAGCUGGUUAGACAGUUGCCACCACGUUCUUAUCCCUUCUGAUCAAGCCACCUCGAGCUUCUCGGUUUCUUUGCGCGAUUUCGACCCUUCUUGUGAAUUUCUGACCCGCGAUCAAUCCCGAAUAUUUUUCCGCUCCCAUUCUGAUUCUCUGAAUAUUUUUAAUAAACUACAGAUGAUGUCUGAUAUCCUUUAAAAAUAUUUCCCGAGCCUCCGGCUUCCUCAAAGAAUUUCGUAAUACCGAAAUUAGGGUUUUCGCCCAACUUCGGGUUUUCCCGUCGUGCUUCAAUCCCGUCGUGCUUGCUUCCCGUCCUGCUUAAUUCCCGUCCUGCUUCCGACUUAUAAUGUCUUCAGAAUAAUAUUUUACUGAUACGAAGAUAUUCCGAGAAAACUUCGUGAUGAAGAAACGUCAGUCUUCAAAAACGUCGAGCUUCUAAACCGUCGUGCUUCCAAAAAUGUUAUGCUUCCAAAACAUCCUUCUGAUCAAUCUAACACUUUUCUAACCAUGUUCCAGCAGCUUAUGGUUCACCCAUGAUCAAUUCUUCGACCAUCCAUUGCCCGCGGU